rnacentral:rRNA from 1 species
GACGAACGCUGGCGGCGUGCUUAACACAUGCAAGUCGAACGGAAAGGCCCUGCUUUUGUGGGGUGCUCGAGUGGCGAACGGGUGAGUAACACGUGAGUAACCUGCCCUUGACUUUGGGAUAACUUCAGGAAACUGGGGCUAAUACCGGAUAGGAGCUCCUGCUGCAUGGUGGGGGUUGGAAAGUUUCGGCGGUUGGGGAUGGACUCGCGGCUUAUCAGCUUGUUGGUGGGGUAGUGGCUUACCAAGGCUUUGACGGGUAGCCGGCCUGAGAGGGUGACCGGCCACAUUGGGACUGAGAUACGGGCCAGACUCCUACGGGAGGCAGCAGUGGGGAAUAUUGCACAAUGGGCGGAAGCCUGAUGCAGCAACGCCGCGUGCGGGAUGACGGCCUUAGGGGUGUAAACCGCUUUCGCCUGUGAAGAAGAGUGAGUGACGGUAAUGGGUAAAGAAGCACCGGCUAACUACGUG